ensembl:lncRNA
GUGGAAGAGGGAUUACAAGUCUUAGUGAGAUUAAUUAAUUUAUUCUGUUUUAUUUCUCUCGGUGAUGUGUUGUAACUCUAUUUAUUUUUGCUCUGAAAUGAUGUUGAACCAACAGGGACAAUGUUGUUCUUCUACAUUAUAAGGACUUUGAACUUAAUGUGUCAAAUGUAUAUGUUACCGGUACCAUUUAUUUUGUAUUCUAACGUUUUUGUUUCAGACAUCCUAUUGGAUAAAGACAGUCAUGCCAGGGAAACGGGCAAACGGAGAAGCUCUGAUGUGUUCCUUUACCACAUUCUAUCCUCUCUAUGUCGGUUCAGAGAUGGUGUUGUGUGAUGCCAAUCAUGUCUGAAACUUCCUGUCCUAUCGUCUUGGAAACAAGAGGGCAGGAUGAACCCACAGUGUCCUGACAACGUCUGAUGAAUGUUUUGUGCUAAAGGAGACAGGAAAUACAGGGAGGGGUUGGCUGCGGAGGAAUAGUUGUGAGUAGUCAAAGAAAAAUCAAACAGUACAAUCACAGAAACUCCAUUGCCGACAAUUAUUUUAUAAUUGAUCUGAUUGAAAUGGUUCUAUUUUUGUUGCCGUAGGUAGACAAAAACUCCACAAAAC